rnacentral:rRNA from 1 species
GUUAAGCGACUAAGCGUACACGGUGGAUGCCCUGGCAGUCAGAGGCGAUGAAGGACGUGCUAAUCUGCGAUAAGCGUCGGUAAGGUGAUAUGAACCGUUAUAACCGGCGAUUUCCGAAUGGGGAAACCCAGUGUGAUUCGUCACACUAUCAUUAACUGAAUCCAUAGGUUAAUGAGGCGAACCGGGGGAACUGAAACAUCUAAGUACCCCGAGGAAAAGAAAUCAACCGAGAUUCCCCCAGUAGCGGCGAGCGAACGGGGAGCAGCCCAGAGCCUGAAUCAGUGUGUGUGUUAGUGGAAGCGUCUGGAAAGGCGCGCGAUACAGGGUGACAGCCCCGUACACAAAAAUGCACAUACUGUGAGCUCGAUGAGUAGGGCGGGACACGUGGUAUCCUGUCUGAAUAUGGGGGGACCAUCCUCCAAGGCUAAAUACUCCUGACUGACCGAUAGUGAACCAGUACCGUGAGGGAAAGGCGAAAAGAACCCCGGCGAGGGGAGUGAAAAAGAACCUGAAACCGUGUACGUACAAGCAGUGGGAGCACGCUUAGGCGUGUGACUGCGUACCUUUUGUAUAAUGGGUCAGCGACUUAUAUUCUGUAGCAAGGUUAACCGAAUAGGGGAGCCGAAGGGAAACCGAGUCUUAACUGGGCGUUAAGUUGCAGGGUAUAGACCCGAAACCCGGUGAUCUAGCCAUGGGCAGGUUGAAGGUUGGGUAACACUAACUGGAGGACCGAACCGACUAAUGUUGAAAAAUUAGCGGAUGACUUGUGGCUGGGGGUGAAAGGCCAAUCAAACCGGGAGAUAGCUGGUUCUCCCCGAAAGCUAUUUAGGUAGCGCCUCGUGAAUUCAUCUCCGGGGGUAGAGCACUGUUUCGGCAAGGGGGUCAUCCCGACUUACCAACCCGAUGCAAACUGCGAAUACCGGAGAAUGUUAUCACGGGAGACACACGGCGGGUGCUAACGUCCGUCGUGAAGAGGGAAACAACCCAGACCGCCAGCUAAGGUCCCAAAGUCAUGGUUAAGUGGGAAACGAUGUGGGAAGGCCCAGACAGCCAGGAUGUUGGCUUAGAAGCAGCCAUCAUUUAAAGAAAGCGUAAUAGCUCACUGGUCGAGUCGGCCUGCGCGGAAGAUGUAACGGGGCUAAACCAUGCACCGAAGCUGCGGCAGCGACGCUGAUGCGUUGUUGGGUAGGGGAGCGUUCUGUAAGCCUGUGAAGGUGUGCUGUGAGGCAUGCUGGAGGUAUCAGAAGUGCGAAUGCUGACAUAAGUAACGAUAAAGCGGGUGAAAAGCCCGCUCGCCGGAAGACCAAGGGUUCCUGUCCAACGUUAAUCGGGGCAGGGUGAGUCGACCCCUAAGGCGAGGCCGAAAGGCGUAGUCGAUGGGAAACAGGUUAAUAUUCCUGUACUUGGUGUUACUGCGAAGGGGGGACGGAGAAGGCUAUGUUGGCCGGGCGACGGUUGUCCCGGUUUAAGCGUGUAGGCUGGUUUUCCAGGCAAAUCCGGAAAAUCAAGGCUGAGGCGUGAUGACGAGGCACUACGGUGCUGAAGCAACAAAUGCCCUGCUUCCAGGAAAAGCCUCUAAGCAUCAGGUAACAUCAAAUCGUACCCCAAACCGACACAGGUGGUCAGGUAGAGAAUACCAAGGCGCUUGAGAGAACUCGGGUGAAGGAACUAGGCAAAAUGGUGCCGUAACUUCGGGAGAAGG